rnacentral:lncRNA from 1 species
CCAUCCUUGUUGUUAUCUGCUUGACCUAUGCCCGGAUGAUUCCCAUACUGAAACUGUGCAUCGUCCUGCAGCGCCUCCCUCAAGGCCAUGUAUUCGUCAUGGGUGAUAACCGUAAUAACAGCUGUGAUUCUCGUGCCUGGUAACACAACACAUCCACUCCCAUGCUUUAUCUUUCUGUACAAUGUAUUACAACUGAUUACUCAUGUCCAGACUAUCUUUGAUUGAAAACUUGCAACUGCUGCGAAAUUCUCGUGCUAGUCAUCUGAAGUCAUUACAGAUUGUAAUGAAUUUUUUCCCCAAAGGUUUAUUUAUUUAUAGCUGUACUGUCAAGAUGUCGACUGUAAAUAAGAGGUGGGAUUUAUGUGUUCUCAGUUUCGUGUAAUAACUUCAGAGUGGGAAUGCGCAUAUGUUGCUAGAAUGCGCUCUAAAAGGAUUAGCUCGGUUUCAGUUGUUUUAUGUUGGCUAUGGCCGUUGAGGAAAUCUUGUUCUCGUCAUAUUGCAUCCAUGCUUUG